UACGUAGGGUGCAAGCGUUAAUCGGAAUUACUGGGCGAAAGCGUGCGCAGGCGGUUUUGUAAGUCUGUCGUGAAAGCCCCGGGCUCAACCUGGGAAUUGCGAUGGAGACUGCAAGGCUUGAAUCUGGCAGAGGGGGGGUAGAAUUCCACGUGUAGCAGUGAAAUGCGUAGAGAUGUGGAGGAACACCGAUGGCGAAAGCAGGUACCUGGACCAUUACUGACACUCAACUGCGAAAGCUAGGGGAGCAAACAGG
rnacentral:rRNA from 1 species